UUGCAUUCUGCUGCUCUUUACAGUCCUACAAAGAUUAGUUCUCCUGAAACCAUUUCAAGCACCUAUUUCCACCUUUCACCACUCCUCUGCCAGACCUCCUGAGCCUCACCAAGGCCUACACCUUCAGCCUUUACCCUAGACCACAUCCCUUCAUUAUAUUUAUCCCCAAAUCCUUCUUUCCCCUUUCUCUGAGCAGCCUGUUGACUGCUCAGUGUGCCAUCCAAAGUCUUUUUUUGUGUGUAUGUAUUGUUUUUUAUUAGCUAAUAUAUCAUGCUGUAGCUAUAACAUGCAGGGUAGCGUUUCAAUGCAUAAUUUAAAGGCUGGAUGCAUUUGUCUUUUCUCCAGAAAGCUCCUCUGAAUGGUUCAUUCGUGAGUCCAGAAGUUUAUUAUGGAGACAAACAAUAUACCAAGGUUAAAAGUCACCAAAUAUCAGGAGAUGAGCGUAUGAAACAAUGAGGCUUGUAAUUAAAGAACAAACAAACAAAAAUACUGUAUUGUGCAAAAUGAAAGCAAGCUGUUCCCAACUACAAAUGAUUUCUUGAUGUUUCUCUUCAGCUCCUAUGCCUAAGGCCAAAUCAAUCCUUUCAAGGAAUCAUCUACAGGAAGGAUAAUGUUGCUCAAACUCUGACUCAAGGUCAGUCCAUGGGAUACUACUCGCUAGCUGCCCAAAUCCUGCCUUGCUGCUCCUCCUGCUCCGAGGCUGUGUUGCAAAGAUUGUUACUCAUGGUAUGGAUAUGGAUUGAUGGAGCCUAGAGUCUAUUUUGCAGAUAAAAAUUACAUUUCUUACUUCAUGUCAUUCUGCAUGCAGUGAAGGUUCCCUAUGCGUCCAGGAGAAGCAGAUAACAUCAGAGCUUCCCAAACCUUCACAGGGGAUUAAGAGAAGAGAAGGUUUUAGAAAGAGGUUUGUGUUGGUGGUGCCUAUUAGAAGCUAAAUAUCUGGAAUGAUUUGUGGUCUUAAAAUGGUGGGUAUAAGGUUGAACACUUAGUGCUGAACUUUGCAGGUGUUAUUUUAAUAUUCUUAGGA
rnacentral:lncRNA from 1 species